GUUUCCCAGUCACGAUAACGCUAGCGGCAGGCUUAAUACAUGCAAGUCGAGGGGCAGCAUGGGGUAGCAAUACUCUGAUGGCGACCGGCAAACGGGUGCGGAACACGUACGCAACCUUCCCGAAACUGGGGAAUAGCCCUCCGAAAGGAGGAUUAAUACCCCGUAACAUAGCGAAGAGGCAUCUCUUUGUUAUUAUAGCUCCGGCGGUUUCGGAUGGGCGUGCGGCUGAUUAGGUAGUUGGCGGGGUAACGGCCCACCAAGCCUGCGAUCAGUAACUGGUGUGAGAGCACGACCAGUCACACGGGCACUGAGACACGGGCCCGACUCCUACGGGAGGCAGCAGUAAGGAAUAUUGGUCAAUGGACGCAAGUCUGAACCAGCCAUGCCGCGUGAAGGAUGAAGGCCCUCUGGGUUGUAAACUUCUUUUAUCUGGGACGAAAAAAGGGCAUUCUUGCUCACUUGACGGUACCAGAGGAAUAAGCACCGGCUAACUCCGUGCCAGCAGCCGCGGUAAUACGGAGGGUGCAAGCGUUAUCCGGAUUCACUGGGUUUAAAGGGUGCGUAGGUGGGCAGGUAAGUCAGUGGUGAAAUCUUCGAGCUUAACUCGGAAACUGCCAUUGAUACUAUCUGUCUUGAAUAUCCUGGAGGUGAGCGGAAUAUGUCAUGUAGCGGUGAAAUGCUUAGAUAUGACAUAGAACACCAAUUGCGAAGGCAGCUCACUACGGGAUGAUUGACGCUGAGGCACGAAAGCGUGGGGAUCAAACAGGAUUAGAUACCCUGGUAGUCCACGCCCUAAACGAUGGAUACUCGACAUACGCGAUACACUGUGUGUGUCUGAGCGAAAGCAUUAAGU
rnacentral:rRNA from 1 species